rnacentral:tRNA from 1 species
GCUGGGUUGGCAGAGUAUUGGAAAUGCGCCUGCCUCGAGAGCAGGUUGGUUUCAAUUCCAUCGCAGGUUCGAAUCCUGCACCCAGCG